GAUUUCCCCAGUGGGGUCCGCCAUGCCGGUGGCCGCGCGCGGCGGCGGGUGACCCCGCGACGGGGCAGGGCUGACCCGCGCCGCCUGUGACGUGCGGGCGCGGAGCGGAUGUCGCUCCCCUGGCGGGGAGGCGAUGGCGGCGGCGGCCGGAGGGAGCCGGGCGGGCGAGCGGGAGCGGCGGGUGCGAGCGCUGAGCGCCGCCCUGCGGGCCCGGCUCGGGCCCUACGAGCCGCUGCUGAGCGCGCUGCAGGCCGCGCUGGUCUGGGAGCGGCCGGGCCGCAGCGCGCUGGGCUGGGCGGGCGCGCACGGCGCCUUCUGUUUUUUGGCACUGACUUCCCUUCGGCUGGUGUUCUUGGUUGCAUUUGGCCUGAUAAUAAUAGUUUGUUUAGAUCAAUGGAAGAAUAAAAUCUGGCCUGAAAUUAAAGUGGCAAGAUCUGACGAAUUGGACAAUGAGAGCUGGGGCUAUGUACACCCUCAGUUGCUGAGUGUGCCGGAGCUGUGUCACCAUUUAGCUGAUGGAUGGGUUACUGGGGUCACCUUCUUAAGGAAUCUCUUCGUUUUCAAAAAGCAAAAUCCCGGCAAGUUUUGCCUUUUAGUGUGUGGAGUCUUUACUUUCUUGGCUGUUCUGGGCCGGUACAUUCCUGGACUCUUGCUCUCAUACCUUAUGCUGCUCUUCAUCCUGCUAUGGCCUCUCACAGUGUACCACAGACUGGGGCAACGCAUGUACAUGAAGCUGGAGCCAGCUCUGCAGCGGUUGGAUUUUAGCGUUCGAGGCUACAUGAUGUCAAAGCAACGAAUGAAGCAAUUGCACCAGCGAGCGCUGAACCAGGAGCCUGCUGAUGCUGGGAGUGACAGUGAAGAAGAACUUGCUGCAUUCUGUCCCAAGCUGGAUGAUUCUGUAGUUGCUAAGGAACUGACUAUCUCCGACUCUGAGCAUUCAGAUGCUGAAGUUUCCUACACUGAGAAUGGGACGUUUAACCUGUCAAGGGGACAGACUCCACUGACGGAGGGAUCUGAAGAUCUUGAUGGUCACAGUGACCCUGAAGAAUCUUUUGCCAGGGAUCUCCCUGACUUCCCUUCCAUAAAUCCAGAGGUGACUGGAAUAGAUGAUGAAGAUGACACCAGCAUUGGGAUUCCCAGCCUUUACCGCUCUCAAGGCAUGGAAGAUCUACGUAACCCAUAUGACCAAGAAGAAGUUGUCCCUGCGCUCCCACUAGGGGCACUGCCCUCUGCAAACAAUCUUACAAAUAACUUAGCUGGAUUUGUCACCAGAGGCAUGAUACAAUUAGCCUUGUCAGGAACCUCUCAGCCAGACCCCUUAUGCAGUGACAAUCCCCAGAGAGGCACAAAAACCUAUCUUAGAACCUCCAGCUCCGAUUUGGACACCGAUGCAGAAGGGGAUGACUUUGAACUGUUGGAUCAGUCAGAGCUGAUCCAGCUGGAUCCAGCUGGCUCCCGAGGCCAGUAAGCAAUCGUACUUCCUUCCCUUCUAAUUUUUCUGUCAUGAGUAGCAGAGGGGAAUCUUCAGCAGAAAAAGCGUUGUACAGUAAUCUAAAUUGUCUCCUGUGGGUACAAGUAGUAUGGCAACCAGUCAUGGCUGGGUACAUCACUGUGAUGUGAAUUUGUAGGGCUAGCUUGGAUUUCAAAAUAAAUCAUGCUUUGGUAGCUCACAGGGCAGAGGCUUUUGAUGCAAUAGCCCCAGUCGCACCCACACAUCACUCUGCAUUGUCUCUGUGACGCUCCUUGCCCUAACCCAAACCUGCUCACUUGAAACAAUAACUGCUGAGUGUGUCUGCAGCUGUAGUGCCCCUUGGCAGACCACUUCAGUUUGUUAGGAAUGUUCUUGCACCAGCCCAGUCUCGCGCAUGCAGACACUCGGCAGAAGGUGAACAGGACUGGUUUCCUCUUAAAAACAUGGAUUAUGCUAUUUCAACUUAAAAUUCCCUACUCCUAAGUCAUUCACAAAAACAACUGACAUUUCUCCCUCCUCCCUCAGUAGUAUCCAGCUGUCUUGGGUAGAAAAAACAACCUUGGUAUUGCUGACGUAAUGGCAAAAGCAGUAUCGUCAUAAGUAAUGACAGAAUUCAUAUUGCUCUCAUCAAAACUCAAGCUUUCCAGUGAUGCUAGUUUAUAAAAGUCAUAAUGGCAAUAACUCAUCUACUAUGUUGGUUCCAGUCCUUCGGGGAGCAUCUCUGUGCAACAGCUGCUAUUGCAUUGGAUUGACACUCUGCAGAACUAAAUUCUCCCACUUUAUUCUAGAGCAGCUACUGCCUGGGCAAUAGCAAUACUACAUUCUAUAUCCUGCCCUGGCAUGGAACUCCUUAGAUGGGGUAGAGGGGAUUCAGUCUCCAUGGCCCGUUUCGUUCUUGGUCUCUGUGACAUUGCCCAGAUUGAGGUAAUAUUGUGCAGUGAAGACUCCUGUCCACUAGGCCACCAGCUCAUGUCACACAUGCCACCAAACAACUGGGAGAUGGUGGCUAUUUUUGGUCACUUUUAGACUUGAGCCAGCAACCUGAAGGGGAGGCUCUUGAGCCAUCCAGUCCCUAAAUUUCCCAGUGCUUUUCUAAGACACAGAAAUUGAUACUGAUUACACUUGUACAGCAAGCAGCUCAUCUCUUCAGGGAAAUUUUCUUGUUCAGUUCAAUUCUAGCUUUCAUUUUAUUUGUGCAUUUUUAAGUCAAAGUUAGGCUGAAUGCAUACUACUUGUAUGGAAAUCAUGGCCAUAUAGAAAUCUAAGCUAUAAAAUGGACAUAUGUUGGUAUUGGAUAUAAAUUCAGGUUAUGAAUAGGAAAAAAACUGUGGAUGUUUUAUCCAUAAUUAGUAUCAAAACAACCUGGUUGGAUAAAAAUCAACCUUAGCUAUGGUGCAACAAGGGCACCCCAUAAUAACCAAAAUGGACAUGGGCCUAAAUUGGCAUUGAAAACAAAAUAUAGAAAUAGCUCCAACCCCAAAUCCUUAACUGGGUUAAUUUGGACACUGUAUGUACUUGGCUUUUAUACAGUCUUAAAAUUACUCAUUAAAAAUACAAAGAUCUUGUUUACUGAGCUUGGAAAGGAAUCAGUGCCCUUUACCUACUAUCAGACCUGCUUCUAGCUGCCUCUGAUGACGCUCCUGCCUCAGUGCUGAGGUAUCCAGUGUGGCUGGGAUUAUUCCGGUACCAUGGAUAUGACUACAGAAAGUGCUCUUUGUAGGCUGCCUUCUCAGGAGUCUCUUGUCACUGCCUACAGCUUUCAUGUCAGUAAAUGGCGAUUUCUCUUGGCUUGCAGGCUAUAUUAACACAUGCAAAAGACUAGAAUCUGCCCCAUAUCACUUGGGAGCAAUAACUAAAUGAGCCACUAACUAGCACUUUAAAUUGAAACCAUAAACCUGAGACUAGAUUCUAAAAUCUACUUAAUAUAGUCAUUCUGCUCACCUACAAGGCUCUGAUGGGUGUCCUCAUCUGAUCUAGUGCAACUUUAAUCCUUAUGGGUAAGGGAAUUUCUGGGAAUAAUUCUUGAAUGUUAGAGGAGCAUAUUGUUGUAAACUACCACAUUGCUGGAACUGCUUUUCACCAAGGGCAUGGAAUGGGUGUAGAGAGCAGAUCUCAACCUGUCACUUGGGGUUGAGAGAUUUUCGAACUGGUGAUGGGAGCCCUGUGUUAUAGGGAAGAGUAGCUGCCUCUUACAAUGUCAGGCACUAGAUUCUGGAACCAAGCACAGCAGGAGCCAAGGCAUGCAUAUCAUGGUUUUGUUAAACAAAAUCCCUAUGUGAGCACUUUGCAAACACUGAAAUGAACCUUGUCAUAAGACUUAAUGUCUUGCAGGUUGUUUGAAGAGAAUGGAAUCUCACUGUGCCAAACUGUACUGCUAUUGCAUGAGUAACUUACAGCACCAGAGGCUCAAACAUCAGGUACAACUUGACAAGUUCACUUUUUUAAAACCUAGAAAAAGUAUUUAACUCUUAUGUGAUAUUUUGCCUUUUUCCUACUGUCACCUCUUUCUUGCUGUGAGGAAGAACAAACCAUGUAUUAAAUCAUCCUUUUACACUCCAUAGUGGUGUUAAUACCAUGCUGUAAAACUGUUCAGAAGUUCUGGUGACCCUAAGUACUUUAAAACAAGAUUUGCAGCUCCCCAAGUCAAUGGAAGCGCUCUAAACUCAGCUGGCUUUAUUGGACAACUGGAUAGAUUAAUUGUAUCAGAUCAGGGUAAAACAAGUCAAUAUAAAUCUAGGGUGGUGUUUUCUGAAACAUCCCUGUUUAAAUGCAUCUCUUUGUAAGCAAUCAGCAUAAUCUAAACUAGAACUGAAAAAACAAUGCUCAGUGCCAAUUAUAGUCUAUUUUCAGAUGCAUCUACUAGUGAUUUAAGAGUCUGAACACCCAGUUUAUUCCCUGGAGCACUAACACUUCCUGUAUCACAGACUCAUUUCUUCAGUCAUCCCUUUGACCCCAACCCCCCAAAAAGGCUGUGUCAUGGGGGAGCAGAGCUAGAAAGCUGGUGAUCUGAGCAUGGAUCUCCUACAGAUUGCCUUCUCUGCCACUGGGCGAGUAACUUUGCUUCUCCAUACUUCAUUGUUGCUAUUUAGAAGUUAUUUGUCUCUUAUGGGGACUGUCAAGGAGGAGAAAAUAAACCAAUCCAUGAUGAGCAGUAUAGGUUUCCCCCAGACUAUUGCCACUGCUUUUGCUAGUGCAGGCUCCAAAACGAAGCUUCAUACACAGUGUUGUGAAUUUUUGGCUCUAUUUUCAUACUCAUUACAGCCCUCCUUGUCCAUUGUGUAUUCACUACCAUGCCUUUUAAAGCUGAAGAAUGCCGUACUCCACUUAAAUCACUGAAAAUUCUUAUGAGUUAUGUCUUUACUAGUAUACAGUGUUGUAGCAGUGUUGGUCCCAGGAUAUUUUGUCUUUACUAGUGGCAGUCUACCUGUCUUCUCUUGUAGGGCCAGAUAGAAAACCAACACCUUCUGCUGACUAAGGGGGACAUUUUUUCUUUAAUAUUCUGUGCUGAAGAAAAUGACUCUUGUAGCAGAACACCCCAAAUGAUCUCUAACUAUGGAUGGGUGAUGAGCACCUCUAGGUCAAAGUGCUUCCCUUCGCUGCAGUGCAGUGUAACACAUUGUAACAAAUGGGGAUGUCUGUUCUCAGCUGUGGCACAAGUGAUACUGGGGCCACUUAAAUAUAAUUCUUUGGAAUACACCUGACCUGCCCCCUUCCGCCCAGGGAGCAGAAUUCACCUGGUUUUGUGAACAAAUGUGAGAUUUUGGCAAGGAGGAGGAAUCUUGUGAUUUUACAUUUUAAUGGCUCUCUGGCAGUUUCCAAGAUCUUUAGUAACUUGUGAAAAUGUGUAAAUUUGCUCAGCUGAAACUUUCUGUAGACCAGCAUAUUCACUGUGAAAGCAUCUAAUUCCAGCUGAAGUUGCACCAUCUCUAGAAUUCAUUAGUUUAGAAUUUUAUGACUUUAAAUCAUAGCAUUUUAAGACACAUGAUACCACCCCUGCCCUUAUUGGCCAAAUAAUAAUGUGAAGUCAGUCGUCACAAAGUCAGUGACAUUCCUAGUGAAACAAUACACCCGAAGGCUUGCAUAGGACAGUGUGCAGUGCUCUGUAACUUUUAAAUGGGUUGGUUUUGAUAUCAUUGGUGUGGCAAUAUCAUCCUUUGUGUUUACAGUAGCCACCCUUGUGAAUGUUUUGAGUCAUUUGUCAGUUUGCAAUUUUUUGAAGUGAGUUAAGUAAAACGUUGAUAA